GAGUGGGGGCAGCUGGAGGAUCGCGGGCGGACGGAAAUGAUCAGAAGUGCAACGGGGAGAACAAUCGAAUGCUUCCAUUUUAGUUUCGUUCAGCUUCGGUGGAACUUGCAAUGGCAAUGGAAGAAUGUUAGACCUAUUGGUGGCGCCAACAAUAAGGACGGAGCAGGGUGUUAAGCAAUAAGAGUCUUGUCGGAAGAACCGCUUACGUGCAAUUCCUCGUUAGUAUAGUGGAGGGAUUGGCCUGAACAGGAUGGAUUAUCAAGCCAUGCUGGGUGGGACUGCUGGUCAUGUGACCUUCUCUCUUUCACACACCAGGGGUGGUCCGUGUGACGUGAGACCAGCCAGAUCAGAGCCUGCCUUGAUGGCACAGUUCAGAGACGACCGUGUGAGCCAGGUUGGUCUACUCAGAGUGAAUCCUGGGACACGACAGGAGCUUGUGGAGAGAAACACAGGAUUCCAUUACUGCUAGCCGCAAGGGGGACUCUGAGUGACCUAUGCCUGAAUCAGCCAUGGGGAAGACUCCAUACUCUAGGAUAAAGGAUCUACAGCAGUCCGGAUGGAACAUUCUGUGAUGAUGGAAAUAUUCUGGAUGUAGUCCAUCAUGGUAACAUUAGGGACAGUGGCUAUUGAGCACUUGAGAUGAAUUGAUGGCUAGU